AACAGGGAUUGCCCCAGUAGCGGCGAGUGAAGCGGCAAAAGCUCAGAUUUGGAAUCGCUUCGGCGAGUUGUGAAUUGCAGGUUGGCGCCUCUGCGGCGGCGGCGGUCCAAGUCCCUUGGAACAGGGCGCCAUUGAGGGUGAGAGCCCCGUGGGACCGUUUGCCUACGCUCUGAGGCCCUUCUGACGAGUCGAGUUGUUUGGGAAUGCAGCUCUAAGCGGGUGGUAAAUUCCAUCUAAGGCUAAAUACUGGCGAGAGACCGAUAGCGAACAAGUACUGUGAAGGAAAGAUGAAAAGCACUUUGAAAAGAGAGUGAAACAGCACGUGAAAUUGUUGAAAGGGAAGGGUAUUGCGCCCGACAUGGAGCGUGCGCACCGCUUCCCCUCGUGGGCGGCGCUCUGGGCGUGCUCUGGGCCAGCAUCGGUUUUUGCCGCGGGAGAAGGGCGGCGGGCAUGUAGCUCUUCGGAGUGUUAUAGCCUGCCGCCGGCGCCGCGAGCGGGGACCGAGGACUGCGACUUUUGUCUCGGAUGCUGGCACAACGGCGCAACACCGC
rnacentral:rRNA from 1 species